CCAAUAGCGUAUAUUAAAGUUGUUGCAGUUAAAAAGCUCGUAGUUGAAUUUUGGAUUCUGCCAGUUGGUCCAUCUUUUGAUGAGUACUGAUUGUGCGGGGUCUAUCCGCCUGGGGAGACGUAAUGUACUUUAUUGUAUGUUGCGGAUAGCCAGGACCUUUACCUUGAAAAAAUUAGAGUGUUUAAAGCAGGCUUAUGCCGGAAUACAUUAGCAUGGAAUAAUAGAAUAGGACGAUGUUGUUUUAUUUUGUUGGUUUCUAGGACAACCGUAAUGAUUAAUAGGGAUAGUUGGGGGCAUUAGUAUUCAAUUGUCAGAGGUGAAAUUCUUGGAUUUAUUGAAGACUAACUACUGCGAAAGCAUUUGCCAAGGAUGUUUUCAUUAAUCAAGAACGAAAGUUAGGGGAUCGAAGACGAUCAGAUACCGUCGUAGUCUUAACCAUAAACUAUGCCGACUAGGGAUCGGGCGAUGUUGUUUCCAUGACUCGCUCGGCACCUUAUG
rnacentral:rRNA from 1 species